AGCAGCCGCGGUAAUUCCAGCUCCAAUAGCGUAUAUUAAAGUUGUUGCAGUUAAAAAGCUCGUAGUUGAAUUUCGGGGUCAGCAGGUUGGUCGUGCCAAUGGUAUGCACUGGCCUUGCUGAUUCCUCCCUCUUGUAGAACCGUAAUGCCAUUAAGUUGGUGUUGCGGGGAAACAGGACUGUUACUUUGAAAAAAUUAGAGUGUUUAAAGCAGGCUAACGCCUGAAUACAUUAGCAUGGAAUAAUGAAAUAGGACGAUCGAUCCUAUUUUGUUGGUUUCUAGGAUUGACGUAAUGAUUAAUAGGGAUAGUUGGGGGCAUUAGUAUUCAAUUGUCAGAGGUGAAAUUCUUGGAUUUAUUGAAGACUAACUACUGCGAAAGCAUUUGCCAAGGAUGUUUUCAUUAAUCAAGAACGAAAGUUAGGGGAUCGAAGACGAUCAGAUACCGUCGUAGUCUUAACCAUAAACUAUGCCGACUAGGGAUCGGAUGAUGUUAAUUUUUA
rnacentral:rRNA from 1 species